UUAUUGACUGCAGUGUAAGAUCUGCUCUGAUUGCCAUUUCCUUGCCAGAGAUAUUUUAAGGGUUUGUACAGAUCAUUAAAGUCCUACAUGGUUUAGGGUUAGGCUAUUUAAGGGAUUACUUCUUCCAGUUUAAACUUACCUCUCUGCUUGAUAAAAUCUGUAGGAGAUUGGACAUGCCUCCAGUAUCAGCUGCCAUCUUUCUAAACACAGUGAUGGCUAGAAAGCCAUUGACACCAUGACAUUUUGAGCAAGAUGCCAGGAUUCACCAACACCUGACAACUUAUCAAAGGAACAUCCUGUUCUUGCACAAUUUUUGAACACUGUGGAGGUUGUAUGAGAAUAGAGUGUGCUCUCAUGUGGCCUCCAUAGCCUUCGCAAAUUAGACAAGAAAGGGUCAUGCUUUCCUAUAAUUUUCAGAGGCUGCAGAAGACCAUUCUCUGAAACUACUUCAAGAAUAAAGGUCUUAUGUGACUUGGAGCUGCCUCAGUAAGCUUCAUGGGCCUAUCAACAGAAAGAGAACACCAGCUAAAGGUGGGCAGAAAAUUAAACCAAGCAAUAGAGUGCAACCACAUCACAAUACUUUUUGAAAUGCCUCUAAGUCUAAGAGAGAUAUUGGAAAUAUUAUUAUGUUUAAAGCAAACCUUAUUUUUCAAAUAUAUUUAUUGUCCAUUAAAAAAACUAAAAGUAUUGUUUACAAAAAUCAGUGAAGGCAGAGUACCUACUCAACAUCUGUAAAAAUGGCUGUGGGGAUAUGGGUGCUCAAAGGUAUCAUCUGAAAACCCAACUGUGAAUACACGUAUAGCUUUUGCAAAACAUUGUUUGAUUUAAAAAAAACAGUGGAAGAAAGUACCUCUAUCUUCUCUAUAUCAAAACAUAGGAACAUAUUUCUCCCACAAAGGGAGAAAGAAACAAAAUUACCAUCAAAAUGAGAUGAUACUUUCUAGGUUAAAAAAGUUAGAUUAAUUUAUAGAAGAUAAAUUAUAUUUUAUGCAUAUCUAUAUACAAUUUGGCUAGUCAGCAUAUGUGAGUAGGAAGAAAAUCUAGCGCAGUGAUAGUAAAGAUAUUCUUAUAUGCAAAAAUAUUUUUUCAGCUCUUGACAUUUUUGGUUAAAGCUUUAGCAAAGUAGAUUAUAAUUUAUCCUGGAAAUAAUUUAUCCUGGAAUAAUAAAAUUAUCUAAUUGCGAGAACACUCUUCCUCACAAAAGUGUUUUGAGCUUAAAUUGGGUGAUGUCUAUGUUCUGUGGUUAAUCUGUGAUAAUUUUUUCACACAAACAUAGAAAAUGGGACAAUCUUACUAUCUUUCUGAACAGUUGCACUUAGCUCAGCUCCCACAUUUCCAAUCAACAAGGCUACCAAGUGAAUAGAGAAAGAUGGAAGAUACAGUUCAAUGUAUGUAGAGAGAACCAGGAUUCAGAAUGCUGAACUAGAGCAUUGAACGUUUUCAAAUAUUUUAUCUGUAAAAAUAAAAACACCUCAUGUGUUAUUUUAUGUGAGAUAUAAAGUGAACGAAUUCAUGCUUUUGAAGUGAAAAACUAAUAACACAGAAAAUUCCUUAUUUUGUAUUUUUAUUUCAUUUUCAUUUUGUAAUUAAAUUUUUUUUAAAAAAAAUAUACUUGGAUGAAUUUUCUAUCAUGCUUUAUUAACAAUUCUGGUAUUAGUCCAGCAGGUGUUAAUUAGUCUAGAUUAAUUAAUUCUGAAUAAAGGUGUGGUAAUUAAUACAUUUCCUCAGGUCACUGCUUUUGUUCAAGCAGGGCAAUAGAUGUCUCUCGAACAUAUGAAUGUAAGAAAAAGGAUAGAUGUGUAACUGUGCUAGGUAAAUGUUGACAACUCCUGCUCAUUUUUAGAACUUUCCAUUUAGUAAUAUCAGGCCAUGUGAAAUCCUGCCAAUAAUUCUGUAUAAAAGUAUGUUCACUUAAUGCUCUAUUUUGGGAAAUACCCUUCCUAUGAAUACCUUAAUGCAAAAUAGUGUAGGGAAAUCUUCCCAAAAUUGUACUAGGCAUAUGCACAAUCAAUCAAUCAAUCAAUCAAUCAAUCAAGGCACCAUAUGUCAUAAAGAACAACUUCUAAAAUGCAGCUAUCGUAUGUCAUUAAAAGAAGAUCCUGAGAAAAAGAUAUCAUGGCACAGGAGGAAGAUGCAAUUUACGGCAGAAAUGUAAGCUAUACUGAAUCAAGAAAUAAACUGUAUGCUGAACUACACAAAAACAGAAAUGAUCCAAAGACCUUAUCACAUGGAAAACUGUACAAAUGACUUC